rnacentral:rRNA from 1 species
UACGUAGGGGGCAAGCGUUGUCCGGAAUCAUUGGGCGUAAAGAGCGCGUAGGCGGUCCGGUAAGCCGGUUGUGAAAACUGGGGGCUCAACCCUCAGAGGCCGACCGAUACUGUCGGGCUAGAGUCCGGAAGAGGCGAGUGGAAUUCCUGGUGUAGCGGUGAAAUGCGCAGAUAUCAGGAGGAACACCAAUGGCGAAGGCAGCUCGCUGGGACGGUACUGACGCUGAGGCGCGAAAGCGUGGGGAGCAAACAGG